rnacentral:ncRNA from 1 species
GGUUAAGUUAUGAAGGGCGCAUGGUGGAUGCCUUGGUACUAGGAGCCGAUGAAGGACGGGACUAACACCGAUAUGCUUCGGGGAGCUGUACGUAAGCUUUGAUCCGGAGAUUUCCGAAUGGGGAAACCCAAUUACAUUAAUCCGUAAUUACAACUUGGGGAAUACAUACUCAAGUUGAGGCAGACGCGGGGAACUGAAACAUCUAAGUACCCGCAGGAAUAGAAAGAAAAAUCGAUUCCCUAAGUAGCGGCGAGCGAACGGGGAAUAGCCCAAACCAAAGAGCUUGCUCUUUGGGGUUGUAGGACUGAACAUUUGAGUUACCAAAGUCAAUGAUAAUCGAAGAGUCUGGGAAGACUCGGCAUAGAGGGUGAUACCCCCGUAGAUGAAAUCAUUGGCCCUCAGUUCAGUAUCCUGAGUACGGCCACACACGUGAAACGUGGUCGGAAUCCGGGAGGACCAUCUCCCAAGGCUAAAUACUCCCUAGUGACCGAUAGUGAACCAGUACCGUGAGGGAAAGGUGAAAAGCACCGCGGAAGCGGAGUGAAAUAGUUCCUGAAACCAUGUGCCUACAAUUAGUUAGAGCCCGUUAAUGGGUGAUAGCGUGCCUUUUGUAGAAUGAACCGGCGAGUUACGUUAAUUUGCAAGGUUAAGGUGGAAAGACCGGAGCCGUAGCGAAAGCGAGUCUGAAACGGGCGUUUCAGUAAAUUGACGUAGACCCGAAACCAGGUGACCUACCCAUGUCCAGGUUGAAGGUGCGGUAAAGCGCACUGGAGGACCGAACCCGUGUAUGUUGAAAAAUGCUGGGAUGAGGUGUGGGUAGCGGUGAAAUUCCAAACGAACUUGGAGAUAGCUGGUUCUCUCCGAAAUAGCUUUAGGGUUAGCCUCGGAGUUAAGAAUCGUGGAGGUAGAGCCACUGUUUGGACUAGGGGCCCGUCAUGGGUUACUGAAUUCAGAUAAACUCCGAAUGCCACAGAUUUAUAUCCGGGAGUCAGACGACGAGUGAUAAGAUCCGCCGUCGAAAGGGGAACAGCCCAGACCACCAAUUAAGGUCCCUAAAUAUGUACUGAGUGGAAAAGGAUGUGGAGUUGCAUAGACAGCUAGGAUGUUGGCUCAGAAGCAGCCACCAUUUAAAGAGUGCGUAAUAGCUCACUAGCCGAGUGAUCCUGCGCCGAAAAUUUACCGGGGCUAAGUACAUUACCGAAAUUGUGGAUGCGACCAUUAGGUCGCGUGAUAGGAGAGCGUUCUAAGGGCAAUGAAGGUAGACCG